UGGGGAAUAUUGGACAAUGGGCGAAAGCCUGAUCCAGCCAUGCCGCGUGUGUGAAGACGGUCUUCGGAUUGUAAAGCACUUUACGUUGGGAGGAAGGGCAGUAAGCGAAUACCUUGCUGUUUUGACGUUACCGACAGAAUAAGCACCGGCUAACUCUGUGCCAGCAGCCGCGGUAAUACAGAGGGUGCAAGCGUUAAUCGGAAUUACUGGGCGUAAAGCGCGCGUCGGUGGUUCGUUAAGUUGAAUGUUAAAGCCCCGGGCUCAACCUGGGAACUGCAUCCAAGACUGGCGAGCUAGUGUAGGGCAGAGGGUGGUGGAAUUUCCUGUGUAGCGGUGAAAUGCGUAGAUAUAAGGAGGAACACCAGUGGCGAAGGCGACCACCUGGGCUCAUACUGACACUGGGGAGCGAAGGCGUAGGGAGCAAACAGG
rnacentral:rRNA from 1 species